GCAGUGCAAUGCGCCGCGUCACAAUGCAACACAACACAACGCAGCGCAACACAACGCAGAGCUGCGCCAACCGGGCCCGGCCCGGCCCCAGCCCCGGCCAGGCGGCGUGGAAAUGAGAUGCACAUUUACCCUUGACGCAGGGCAGGCCCGGCAGCGCCUCCCAGGGAGCCACGAGCCCAGGCCGAGGGGGCCCAGUCUCUGCACCGGACCCGGGACCGCAGCCCGGGCAGGCCUGCACGAGCCCGCCGAGGCGCCGCCGAGCUGCAGGGCGAGACGGGCAGGUAGCACAAGCCCCGCGAGCAGCCUGGGAGCAGGUCAGCCGCGGCCUUGGAAGUGAUCCUGGGUGUCGCCCGCCCUCGCCAGCGUGUCAGCAGGGCUCCCUGCUCCGGGCCCGUCGCUCGGGGCUGCUUGGGACACCGCAGCGCCAGGCCCUGCCCUACCCAGCCUGGGCUGCGCGGGAUCCUCUGCCCGACACCGCAGCAGAGCGGGCACCGGGCAAGCGGGACAAGCCCCGGCCCCAGCACCGGGACGGGCGGGGGCGGGGGCCGGGGCCGGGCUGGACCGGGCCUGCUGGUGCGCCAAGCCACGCGGCCGUGCAGAGCCUUCCCUUCCAAUAAACGGGUGUGAUUUACUCCAAA